UACGUAGGGUGCAAGCGUUAAUCGGAAUUACUGGGCGUAAAGCGUGCGCAGGCGGUUUUGUAAGCCAGAUGUGAAAUCCCCGGGCUUAACCUGGGAAUGGCAUUUGGGACUGCAAGGCUUGAGUGCGGCAGAGGAGACUGGAAUUCCCGGUGUAGCAGUGAAAUGCGUAGAUAUUAGCAGGAACACCGGUGGCGAAGGCGGCUAUCUGGACGACAACUGACGCUGAGGCGCGAAAGCGUGGGGAUCAAACAGG
rnacentral:rRNA from 1 species